CCUACGGGUGGCUGCAGUGAGGAAUAUUGGUCAAUGGACGCAAGUCUGAACCAGCCAUGCCGCGUGCAGGAAGACUGCUCUAUGAGUUGUAAACUGCUUUUGUACGAGGGUAAACUCAGAUACGCGUAUCUUUCUGAAAGUAUCGUACGAAUAAGGAUCGGCUAACUCCGUGCCAGCAGCCGCGGUAAUACGGAGGAUUCAAGCGUUAUCCGGAUUUAUUGGGUUUAAAGGGUGCGUAGGCGGUCGGAUAAGUUAGAGGUGAAAUCCCGAGGCUCAACUGUGGAAUUGCCUAUGAUACUGUUAGGCUAGAGAGUAGUUGAGGUAGGCGGAAUGUAUGGUGUAGCGGUGAAAUGCUUAGAGAUCAUACAGAACACCGAUUGCGAAGGCAGCUUACCAAGCUACUUCUGACGUUGAGGCACGAAAGCGUGGGGAGCAAACAGGAUUAGAUACCCUUGUAGUC
rnacentral:rRNA from 1 species